rnacentral:rRNA from 1 species
GAUGAACGCUGGCGGCGUGCCUAAUACAUGCAAGUCGAGCGAACGGACGAGAAGCUUGCUUUUCUGAUGUUAGCGGCGGACGGGUGAGUAACACGUGGAUAACCUACCUAUAAGACUGGGAUAACUUCGGGAAACCGGAGCUAAUACCGGAUAAUAUUUUGAACCGCAUGGUUCAUAAGUGAAAGACGGUCUUGCUGUCACUUAUAGAUGGAUCCGCGCUGCAUUAGCUAGUUGGUAAGGUAACGGCUUACCAAGGCAACGAUGCAUAGCCGACCUGAGAGGGUGAUCGGCCACACUGGAACUGAGACACGGUCCAGACUCCUACGGGAGGCAGCAGUAGGGAAUCUUCCGCAAUGGGCGAAAGCCUGACGGAGCAACGCCGCGUGAGUGAUGAAGGUCUUCGGAUCGUAAAACUCUGUUAUUAGGGAAGAACAUAUGUGUAAGUAACUGUGCACAUCUUGACGGUACCUAAUCAGUAAGCCACGGCUAACUACGUG